GAUGAACGCUAGCGGCAGGCUUAAUACAUGCAAGUCGAGGGGCAGCAUGAUUGUAGCAAUACAAUUGAUGGCGACCGGCAAACGGGUGCGGAACACGUACACAACCUCCCAAUAAGUGGGGAAUAGCCCAGAGAAAUUUGGAUUAAUACCCCGUAACAUAACGAUGUGACAUCAUAUUGUUAUUAUAGAUUUUUCGCUUAUUGAUGGGUGUGCGGCUGAUUAGAUAGUUGGCGGGGUAACGGCCCACCAAGUCUACGAUCAGUAGCUGAUGUGAGAGCAUGAUCAGCCACACGGGCACUGAGACACGGGCCCGACUCCUACGGGAGGCAGCAGUAAGGAAUAUUGGACAAUGGACGCAAGUCUGAUCCAGCCAUGCCGCGUGAAGGAUUAAGGUCCUCUGGAUUGUAAACUUCUUUUAUAAGGGACGAAAAAAGGCUUUUCUAAGUCGUCUGACGGUACCUUAUGAAUAAGCACCGGCUAACUCCGUGCCAGCAGCCGCGGUAAGAC
rnacentral:rRNA from 1 species